rnacentral:rRNA from 1 species
AAAGGAAUUGACGGGGACCCGCACAAGCGGUGGAGCAUGUGGUUUAAUUCGAAGCAACGCGAAGAACCUUACCAGGUCUUGACAUCCUCUGACAAUCCUAGAGAUAGGACUUUCCCCUUCGGGGGACAGAGUGACAGGUGGUGCAUGGUUGUCGUCAGCUCGUGUCGUGAGAUGUUGGGUUAAGUCCCGCAACGAGCGCAACCCUUAUUCUUAGUUGCCAGCAUUAAGUUGGGCACUCUAAGGAGACUGCCGGUGACAAACCGGAGGAAGGUGGGGAUGACGUCAAAUCAUCAUGCCCCUUAUGACCUGGGCUACACACGUGCUACAAUGGAUGGUACAAAGGGCUGCAAAACCGUGAGGUCAAGCCAAUCCCAUAAAACCAUUCUCAGUUCGGAUUGUAGGCUGCAACUCGCCUACAUGAAGCCGGAAUCGCUAGUAAUCGUGGAUCAGCAUGCCACGGUGAAUACGUUCCCGGGUCUUGUACACACCGCCCGU